UACGUAGGGUGCAAGCGUUGUCCGGAAUUAUUGGGCGUAAAGAGCUCGUAGGCGGUUUGUCGCGUCUGCUGUGAAAACCCGAGGCUCAACCUCGGGCCUGCAGUGGGUACGGACAGACUAGAGUGCGGUAGGGGAGAUUGGAAUUCCUGGUGUAGCGGUGGAAUGCGCAGAUAUCAGGAGGAACACCGAUGGCGAAGGCAGAUCUCUGGGCCGUAACUGACGCUGAGGAGCGAAAGCGUGGGGAGCGAACAGG
rnacentral:rRNA from 1 species